UUGACUUUCUUGGCAACAGGACCGUCUGCAACACUCUGAUGGUUUCUCUUUGAGUCUUUUGAGGAUGCAGAUGAGCCUUUUACCUGAGGUCCCCGUGUGGUCCUCAUCUUCAUGCUGAGCAUGUGUGUGGCAUUCUUCAGCAGAGGAGCUUUGCGUCCCAGCUUCAGGUAGAAGUAGGUUGUGUAUGGCGUGAAGCUAAAAUCUUCUCUGAUGUUGACAAAACAAACAAACAAUCACACGCUUAUCUAAAGCAGAAAUAAAUAAAAA